GCCGGAGUGGCGGAACGGUAGACGCGUCGGACUCAAAAUCCGAUGGGCGCAAGCCCGUGUGGGUUCGAAUCCCACCUCCGGUA
rnacentral:tRNA from 2 species